UACGUAGGGUGCGAGCGUUGUCCGGAAUUAUUGGGCGUAAAGAGCUCGUAGGCGGUGUGUCACGUCGGCCGUGAAAACCUGCAGCUUAACUGUGGGCGUGCGGUCGAUACGGGCAUCACUGGAGUUCGGCAGGGGAGAAUGGAAUUCCCGGUGUAGCGGUGAAAUGCGCAGAUAUCGGGAAGAACACCCGUGGCGAAGGCGGGUCUCUGGGCCGAUACUGACGCUGAGGAGCGAAAGCGUGGGGAGCGAACAGG
rnacentral:rRNA from 1 species